UAAGCAGGUCGCCUUAUCGAUCACUUUGUGAUAGGAAAGUCCGGACACCUUAGAGUAGCAUAGCGGCUAACGGCCGUCGUCACGUUUAUGCGUGAUAGGACAAGUGCAACAGAAAGAAUGUACAGGUAAUGCUGUAGUGCAAUCAGGUAAACUCUAUGCGGUGCAAUGUCAAGUAUACCCGCAGUUAAGUGUUACUCGCGCGUUGCGGGAGGGUAGGCAGAUAGAGGUGCUUAGUAAUAAUCAUCCCAGAUAAAUGAUAAGGGUUACACUCGUGUAAUACAGAAUCCGGCUUAUAGACCUGCUUUUUUU
rnacentral:RNase_P_RNA from 1 species